ACACAACCAGAGAGAUGAGGAGGCAUUCAAAUGGCUUAUGAUUUCGUCCAAAAUGGUUUGCUUGUUCCUACUACAGUGUUUCUCUGGAUCUUUUCAAACCUCCGCAAAGAGUUUAUCCACAUGAUACUCAUUAAAGUCUCAUUUGAAAGGGGGGAAAAAAAGCCCAAAGCUCUUUGAAAAAGCCAGGGUUAUCUGAGCUGCAGAUGUACUGUCACAGGAGGCUGCCACGUGGCACAUUCGCGUCUGCUGGGGAUGAGAUGACCUCGCCAGGCACCGGUAUCCACAGUCCCGACACCAGCGAGUUUUGCUUGGUGAGGAGGGACUUUUGUCACCUGCCCACGCUGCUCCUCUCCAUCCCAGCCCUGGCUUAGGAUGCUUCCCCAUCAUGGCUCCAAUUCCAAUCAGAUGAUUUCAUAGACGCUUCAUGUGACUCGGGUGAAGAAAAUGCCAGCUAAAGGUACCUAGUUAGAUACGGAGGGAGUAGAAUUUGCCAGCGUAAUUUCGGAGUCUGACAGACUGCGUUUGCAUAUGAACCAUCCUCCUUAAUACUGGUUUGCCCUGAACAGGUUAUUUAAGCCUAAAAAGGAUUAUAUCUACUUUAUAAAGUUGUUGUGAGCCGGAAAUGAAGUAAUAAAUGCAAAGCUCUUAAUACAGUG